rnacentral:rRNA from 1 species
UACGGGGGGGAGCAAGCGUUGUUCGGAUUUACUGGGCGUAAAGGGCGCGUAGGCGGCCAGCACAAGUCAGUUGUGAAAUCUCCGGGCUUAACUCGGAAAGGUCAACUGAUACUGUGCGGCUAGAGUGCAGAAGGGGCAACUGGAAUUCUUGGUGUAGCGGUGAAAUGCGCAGAUAUCAGGAGGAACACCGGUGGCGAAGGCGGAUCUCUGGGGCCGAUACUGACGCUGAGGCGCGAAAGCGUGGGGAGCAAACAGG